GAUGAACGCUGGCGGCGUGCUUAACACAUGCAAGUCGAACGGUGAAGCAGGAGCUUGCUCUUGUGGAUCAGUGGCGAACGGGUGAGUAACACGUGAGCAACCUGCCCCUGACUCUGGGAUAAGCGCUGGAAACGGCGUCUAAUACUGGAUAUGUGAUGUGACCGCAUGGUCUGCAUCUGGAAAGAAUUUCGGUUGGGGAUGGGCUCGCGGCCUAUCAGCUUGUUGGUGAGGUAAUGGCUCACCAAGGCGUCGACGGGUAGCCGGCCUGAGAGGGUGACCGGCCACACUGGGACUGAGAUACGGCCCAGACUCCUACGGGAGGCAGCAGUGGGGAAUAUUGCACAAUGGGCGCAAGCCUGAUGCAGCGACGCCGCGUGAGGGAUGACGGCCUUCGGGUUGUAAACCUCUUUUAGCAGGGAAGAAGCGAAAGUGACGGUACCUGCAGAAAAAGCACCGGCUAACUACGUGCCAGCCGCCGCCGUAA
rnacentral:rRNA from 1 species